AGUUGAUGACGACACCUCACUAAUGCUUUAAACUCCUUAGGGUGCAAUGGGGGAGCCAAAAUUGGGGAGCUAAGCAUGUG
ensembl:snoRNA SNORD39 Small nucleolar RNA SNORD55/SNORD39